CCUACGGGAGGCAGCAGUAGGGAAUAUUGCUCAAUGGGGGAAACCCUGAAGCAGCAACGCCGCGUGGAGGAUGAAGGUUUUCGGAUUGUAAACUCCUUUUGUUAGAGAAGAUAAUGACGGUAUCUAACGAAUAAGCACCGGCUAACUCUGUGCCAGCAGACGCGGUAAUACGGAGGGUGCAAGCGUUACCCGGAAUCACUGGGCGUAAAGAGGGCGUAGGCGGGAUAGCAAGUCAGAUGUGAAAUCCUAUGGCUUAACCAUAGAACUGCAUUUGAAACUGUUAUUCUAGAGUAUGGGAGAGGUAGGUGGAAUUCUUGGUGUAGGGGUAAAAUCCGUAGAGAUCAAGAGGAAUACUCAUUGCGAAGGCGACCUGCUAGAACAUAACUGACGCUGAUGCGCGAAAGCGUGGGGAGCAAACAGGAUUAGAUACACCAGUAGUC
rnacentral:rRNA from 1 species